UGCAGUCGAGCGGUAGCACAGGGGAGCUUGCUCUCUGGGUGACGAGCGGCGGACGGGUGAGUAAUGUCUGGGAAACUGCCUGAUGGAGGGGGAUAACUACUGGAAACGGUAGCUAAUACCGCAUAACGUCGCAAGACCAAAGAGGGGGACCUUCGGGCCUCUUGCCAUCAGAUGUGCCCAGAUGGGAUUAGCUAGUAGGUGGGGUAAUGGCUCACCUAGGCGACGAUCCCUAGCUGGUCUGAGAGGAUGACCAGCCACACUGGAACUGAGACACGGUCCAGACUCCUACGGGAGGCAGCAGUGGGGAAUAUUGCACAAUGGGCGCAAGCCUGAUGCAGCCAUGCCGCGUGUGUGAAGAAGGCCUUCGGGUUGUAAAGCACUUUCAGCGAGGAGGAAGGUGGUGAGCUUAAUACGUUCAUCAAUUGACGUUACUCGCAGAAGAAGCACCGGCUAACUCCGUGCCAGCAGCCGCGGUAAUACGGAGGGUGCAAGCGUUAAUCGGAAUUACUGGGGUAAAGCGCACGCAGGCGGUUUGUUAAGUCAGAUGUGAAAUCCCCGGGCUCAACCUGGGAACUGCAUUUGAAACUGGCAAGCUAGAGUCUCGUAGAGGGGGGUAGAUUC
rnacentral:rRNA from 1 species